CUUUUCAGUUCUGUCUUCCUGAGGCUGCUGUUUCUGGGCAUGGCCAGGGGAUCUUCAGACUUUACAAACCAGUUGUGCAGAGCCAGGCAUUUCAAUAAGGAACAAAAUGCUGAGUAACAACAUGAAGUCAGAGUGUUGCUUGCCAAGAGCUGGGAGGCCUGGGUGGUUUCCCAAUCUUAAAGAAGCAGAAGGAUAUUAAAGUGAGCCUCCCAAAGGAAAACGUGGAUCUACUUACCAACGCAGAAAAUGAUACACACGGAUUCGAUUUAGGCACGCUACAUUCAAAUGACUUGGAAGAGCAGGUUCUCUGAGCCAGGAUACUAAAGUCCCUGUUUAGGAAAGAGCCACGUUGUAUGUUUACCCUACCACAAAGAUACAGUCAUGUGCCUGGGAAAGAUUGAUGCCAGCUCCAGAAAGGCAUCCGAAUGGUCUAAGUAAUGCCAUCCAUCUGUCAGUAAUAGAUUCAGAAAUGGGUAUGUGAUUCAAGUCUGGCCAAUGAGAUGUAUGCAGAAGAGUGCUGGGUAUUCUGGAAAAUUAUCCCUUGUCAUUCAGAGAUCCACAGGAAUCCAGCCUUUUGCUCCUUGAAUGGGAUAAGGAAGCACAUAAUCCCAGUUGCUCUUCCAGUCAUCCCAGACCCACAGCCCUGCUUUAGCCAUCCUAUAGCCAUCAUAUAUUCACAAGGGGAGAGCAACUGAGGACAACACUGUGGAUCCUUGUGACAUAACCAAGCCAGUGAACCAAUCAAUACAUUUAUUUAUUGUUUGAG
rnacentral:lncRNA from 1 species